rnacentral:rRNA from 1 species
GAUGAACGCUGGCGGCGUGCCUAAUACAUGCAAGUCGAGCGAACAGACGAGGAGCUUGCUCCUCUGACGUUAGCGGCGGACGGGUGAGUAACACGUGGAUAACCUACCUAUAAGACUGGGAUAACUUCGGGAAACCGGAGCUAAUACCGGAUAAUAUAUUGAACCGCAUGGUUCAAUAGUGAAAGACGGCUUUGCUGUCACUUAUAGAUGGAUCCGCGCCGCAUUAGCUAGUUGGUAAGGGAACGGCUUACCAAGGCAACGAUGCGUAGCCGACCUGAGAGGGUGAUCGGCCACACUGGAACUGAGACACGGUCCAGACUCCUACGGGAGGCAGCAGUAGGGAAUCUUCCGCAAUGGGCGAAAGCCUGACGGAGCAACGCCGCGUGAGUGAUGAAGGUCUUCGGAUCGUAAAACUCUGUUAUUAGGGAAGAACAAAUGUGUAAGUAACUAUGCACGUCUUGACGGUACCUAAUCAGAAAGCCACGGCUAACUACGUG